rnacentral:lncRNA from 1 species
AAUAUUUAACUUGCCUUAAUGAAUGCUUAGACUAAACUUGGUUGUGUGCACAAGUCCUUUAUAAUGUGAUGGUUUGCCAGCUGAAUCCGAGCUUGGCUCUGUCCAAGUUCCUAACUCUACCUCAAUCUAUACUCCUUCACAGGCACCAGGAUCAUCUACGACAGAAAGUUCCUGCUGGAGUGCAAAAACUCACCCAUUGCCCGGACACCUCCCUGCUGCCUCCCUCAGAUCCCCGGGGUCACAAUUCCCCCAACAGUACCACCCUUCAAGCUGGAGUUGCUGAAGGAACAGAAGCAGACAGAGGAAGAGAUAACCGAUGACGAACAAUUUGAAAUGGACAUGUAAUCUAGUGCAAAGUGACCUGUGUGGAAUUAUGGAAGGAGCUCUCAUGCCACUAUUGUCAUCACCCCUUCUAGGGUAUCCAGGGCCAGCUGGCCUCAUCUAAUCUGGAAGUGAAUUGUUGGUUCUGAGCUUCCUUUAGUUCUGAGGCAGCUAGACCAGGGAUAGCAGUGGGCAACCUGCCAAGCCUUUAGCUUUCUCUGGUCUAUACAUAUUCCUCCCAAACUCUGCUCUUCCCCUCAGGGCUGGCACUGGGGAACAGAGUAUGUCACCUUCUGGCUGCUUAGUAAACUUUCAAAAAAC